UACGGAGGGUGCAAGCGUUAUCCGGAUUUACUGGGUUUAAAGGGUGCGCAGGCGGAUAUGUAAGUCAGUGGUGAAAAUCUCUGGGCUUAACCCCGGAAAUUUGCCAUUGAUACUAUAUAUCUUGAAUGCUGUGGAGGUAAGCGGAAUAUGUCAUGUAGCGGUGAAAAUGCUUAGAGAUGACAUAGAACACCUAUUGCGAAAGGCAGCUUACUACGCAGAGAUUGACGCUCAUGCACGAAAGCGUGGGGAUCAAACAGGAAUUAGAUUACCC
rnacentral:rRNA from 1 species